GUGCUUUGAGGGAGAUGCGUGGACGGGGCAGGCCAGGACCCACUGUGCUUUGAGGGGGACGCAGGACGGGACAGGUUGGAGAAGGAAAUUGAGGGGCUGGAGCGUGGAGACUCUGCCCCAGCUGCCGCGAAGGAGAACGCAGCGGCCCCGAGCCCGGUCCGGGCCCCAGCCCCGAGUCCAGCCAAGGAGGAGCGCAAGACAGAGGUGGUGAUGAAUUCACAGCAGACGCCGGUGGGCACGCCCAAAGACAAGCGAGUCUCCAAUACGCCCAUGAGGACGGUUGACGGCUCCCCCAUGAUGAAGGCAGCCAUGUACUCGGUUGAGAUCACUGUGGAGAAGGACAAGGUGACAGGGGAGACCAGGGUGCUGUCCAGCACCACGCUGCUCCCUCGGCAGCCGCUCCCUCAGGGCAUCAAAGUCUACGAGGACGAGACCAAAGUGGUCCAUGCUGUGGAUGGCACCGCCGAGAACGGGAUCCACCCCCUGAGCUCCUCUGAGGUGGACGAACUCAUCCACAAAGCGGACGAGGUCACGCUGAGCGAGGCAGGGUCCACGGCUGGGGUGGCAGAGACCCGGGGGGCUGUGGAGGAGGUAGCCCGGACCACGCCCUCCCGGCGGGAGAUCACCGGUGUGCAGGCACAGCCAGGCGAGGCCACGUCCGGCCCGCCGGGGAUCCAGCCCGGCCAGGAGCCCCCGGUCACAAUGAUCUUCAUGGGUUACCAGAACGUGGAGGAUGAGGCCGAGACCAAGAAGGUGCUGGGCCUUCAAGACACCAUCACGGCGGAGCUGGUGGUCAUCGAAGACGCGGCUGAGCCCAAGGAACCUGCACCGCCCAACGGCAGUGCCGCCGAGCCUCCCACGGAGGCCACCUCCAGGGAAGAGAAUCAGGCGGGGCCCGAGGCCACCACCAGCGACCCCCAGGACCUCGACAUGAAGAAGCAGCGUUGUAAAUGCUGCUCGAUCAUGUGAGCCGGCCCCUGAGACCCCGGCCCCCACCCCACACCACAGACACCCACCAGCCCGGCCCCUCCCGGCGCCUGCCCACCCUCCACCCACAGCCUCACGGGUCCAGGACUUGGCGUGUUGUUACAUGUUCCUUCCGAGUUUUCUUUCGCUGGAAAGAGGGACAGGGGCCCCUACCCGUCACCACGCCCCAACACUCCCCCCGAACCAGAGCCGUGCACUUGUGCCUGGUAGGAGAGAGACAGGACAGACCCGCUUUUCCCGAGACGAGGACCCCCCAUGUCACGGCAGCUUCACAGACGCGGCUCGCGCCCACCGGGGUCCUGGCGGGUGGGACCCGCAGCCUCCACACGGCCCAGGCCAGCCUGCCACCCUCUGGGCCUCCCGCCUGUGCCUUUCUCUGAGGGGACACCCCGCCAGAGAGGGCCCCGGGAGCCGGGGGCGGGUACUGGGGCCUGCUCAGGCCCUGGAAGUGGGGCUCUAUGGGGUUCCCUAGCCAAGGCGCUGGCCCCCCAAUCUCAGGCAGUUGGGGUGAGGCCGUGCCUCUUUGGGGGCUCAAGGUCUUGGGUGGAGGACAGGCCCCUCUGCUGUGCCCCCAUGCCCUGUAUGGGCCCAACCAGUGGACAAUGGAGUCUGGGGGAGGGGGAACCCCAGGGACAUGCCCCAACCCGGGAGGGGCCGGUAACCCCUGGGCUGUCUUCUAGACGGGGCGAACCAGGGGUCAUUCACCUGCCCCUGCACGGGGCAGGGACCGAGUGAGCCACUCCUUGUCCCGAGCUCCCGCCCCCACGGGGCCCUCCUUCCUCCUGGUGCUAAUUUGGGGACCCCAGGGGCCGCCCCCGGCCUCUUCUCCAACCUGCUUGGACCAGGGUCCUGGGUCUUCCCAACCAUACCCCAGAGAUCAGGCCCCACCUGCCAGCUCUACUGGGCUUGGAGCAUGUCCGGGCAGUGGAGGGAGGGACACAGCCUGGGACAGGAAGCCUCUUGGGUUGGAGCAGGAGACCCUCAUUUGCCACCCAGACCAAUGUGAGCCUGCCCCCAGCCCCCUCUCAUUGGAAGUGGCAAGGGGCUUCCCUCCUGGGGGCAGCUACACUCGUCCCCAGAGGCACGUUCGUGCACAUUCUCACAGACACCUUCUCAUGCGUUGGCUUUGGACAACCAGGCCCCAACUUGGUCCCUGCCCUAGGGACCUCCAGCCUGGUGCCCAGUGCUCAGGCCACCUCCUGGUCCAGUCACCACCUGCAGCCUCGGCAGGGCAGGUACAGGGGCCACCUCGGAUGGGAGCCUGGGUCCCUGCCUCCGCUCUGCCCCUGGGUGGCUGGGAGGAGAGGCCCUCUCGGGGGUGACCCGGGUGUCAGCCGUGGAGCCCCCUCCUCCUCCCUCGAGUCUGCCCGAGUCCCUCGAGCCGCGAGCCUUCGCUGAAGUGCCCUUGCUAACCCCUCUGCUUUUGGUGUGUGACGAGGCCCCCGAUGUUCUUGAUUUUCCCAGAGAAGCAAAUAAACAGCGUGAACAGCCCCA
rnacentral:sRNA from 1 species